rnacentral:rRNA from 1 species
UACAGAGGGGGCAAGCGUUGUUCGGAAUUACUGGGCGUAAAGGGCGCGUAGGCGGCCUUCUAAGUCAGACGUGAAAUCCCCGGGCUCAACCCGGGAACUGCGUCUGAUACUGGAUGGCUUGGAUUCGGGAGAGGAAUGCGGAAUUCCAGGUGUAGCGGUGAAAUGCGUAGAUAUCUGGAGGAACACCGGUGGCGAAGGCGGCAUUCUGGACCGACAUUGACGCUGAGGAGCGAAAGCCAGGGGAGCAAACGGG